rnacentral:rRNA from 1 species
CAGUCGCCGCGGUAAUACGGAGGGGGCUAGCGUUGUUCGGAAUUACUGGGCGUAAAGCGCAUGUAGGCGGCUUGGUAAGUUAGAGGUGAAAGCCUGGAGCUCAACUCCAGAAUUGCCUUUAAGACUGCCGAGCUAGCAGGUGAGAGAGGUAAGUGGAAUUCCGAGUGUAGAGGUGAAAUUCGUAGAUAUUCGGAAGAACACCAGUGGCGAAGGCGGCUUACUGGCUCAUACUGGACGCUGAGGUGCGAAAGCGUGGGGAGCAAACAGGAUUAGAUACCCCCGUAGUCCCUGUCUCUUAUAC